UGCACCUCUUGCUCUUGGAGACAAGUUUACUUGCUCAAGACACCGACAUUGAAGUUCAAAAGGGUAAUCCCUCAUGCAACCAAUCCGUGGCCCGGCUCCUGUGCUCCAUCUAGAGGACAACUGCUGAGCUAAUUGAUUUCCAGUAUCCACGCUGUGCUCGUGGAGGAAGGACAUGAAUGCCUGGAAAUUUUCUUCAGUUGGAAGGUAGUGUCCACUGUGAGGCCAAACUGACUGUAAAUUUCAAUGAAUCUCAUCAGCAUACAAAACCCACUUGAGGUAAAAGAAUCUAAUUCCUCAGAAACACAGCCAUGGCUUCUUCUUUACCUUCAGAAUACCGUUUUCAACAACCAGUCUGCCAGCUGAUAAUGUUGCACCACCAGCCAGAAAACUUGAAUGCUGAAAUGUGCCCUUGUUCUUCUGCCCAACAUACAAGCUCUUGGAUGUACUGAGAACAAAGAUCCAUUUGGCAUCUUUAGGGCCUUCAGUGGUAUCAAGAAGUUUCCCACUCUUCUUGUAAAAGAACUUUGCACCCUCUAUCACUACUUCAUAUUCAGUCCUUUCUGUCUGCAAGUCAGAAAUUUUGUUGUUCAGCAAACUCCGUUACAGGGUUUUAAAAAGAGAGGAACAAAUGGAGAGUAUAGAUGACUAACUGGACCAAGAUACUUAAUGCAUUGCUGUUGAAGCUUCCACCGGGGACACCUCUCGAUUAGAUUAACUUCUUUUCCUUCACCUAUAUCGAGCCUGCACUUUCAAGACUGACAUAUCAGCUUUGAAAAAUCUCUAAAUUCUCAGCUGAGAAGUUGUUAAUUCAUUUUGUUGUUGUUCCGGUUGUCAUUACCAGUAAAAGAAGGGCUGCCUGCUCUGGCAGUGGAGCCAUGUUGCAUAAUAAAACUGAAGAUUAUGGCCAUAACGAUGGCGAGGAUCAAUCUGCCAACCGAAAGAAUAAUGAAGAAGAACAAUGUCAUGUAUCUUCUGCUUCACAUUCAAUAAUAUAAUUUCCCAGAAGAAUGGACUUACUGCUUCAAGCCAAUGUUGUAAAGCAAGCUUUCGAGCCUUUUCAUCCUUGGACAAACCUUUUCCAACCUGGAAACCAACAAUUGAAACUUUAACAAUCAUGAAUUAGCAAGCUUCUCCUUGUUUGACAAUA